CUGGAUAUUAGUAUAACAAUAGUUAAUAAAUGAUAACAUAUUACAGUACAAAAAACUAUAUAAGUAUUACUGACAGGCUUCCUGUUCUUUCUCGUAAACAAUCUCCGAAGAGCUGAGACGAAUCCACCCCUUGUUUUCUUCUGAUUGGCAACAGCAGUGGAUGAAACAAUGUGGCCAUCAGCGGUAGAGGUAGACAUUUUCUCAGCAGAGUGCUCCAGGCUGGUAGCAAUAGCAUCAACUUCAUGGACCGAAGCAUUGCAACGCUCGGUUGAAAACAUAGAAAUAGUGAUGACUAGUCUACUUCUCUUGGUUGAGACAUCAGCCACAUGGACCUCAGGUUGGUUGGAGUCUCUCAGUGUGGAAUCAUCACGAUCCUUCACUCUAGCAUCACUGCUGGACAGCUCCUGAGACACUAGGCCUGCAGCAGACUGGAUCAGGUCACUCUCCACGAUGGCAACACUGGUGGACAGAACCUGAGACACUAGGCCUGCAGCAGACUGGAUCCGGUCAUUCUCCACGAUGGCAACACUGGUGGACAGAACCUGAGACACUAGGCCUGCAGCAGACUGGAUCAGGUCACUCUCCACGAUAGCAACACUGGUGGACAGAACCUGAGACACUAGGCCUGCAGCAGACUGGAUCAGGUCAUUCUCCACGAUAGCAACACUGGUGGACAGAACCUGAGACACUAGACCUGCAGCAGACUGGAUCAGGUCAUUCUCCACGAUGGAAACACUGGUGGACAGAACCUGAGACACUAGGACUGCAGCAGACUGGAUCUGGUCAUUCUCGACGAUGGAAACACUGGUGGACAGAACCUGAGACACUAGGCCUGCAGCAGACUGGAUCAGGUCACUCUCCACGAUAGCAACACUGGUGGACAGAACCUGAGACACUAGGCCUGCAGCAGACUGGAUCAGGUCAUUCUCCACGAUGGAAACACUGGUGGACAGAACCUGAGACACUAGGCCUGCAGCAGACUGGAUCUGGUCAUUCUCCACGAUGGAAACACUGGUGGACAGAACCUGAGACACUAGGCCUGCAGCAGACUGGAUCCGGUCAUUCUCCACGAUGGCAACACUGGUGGACAGAACCUGAGACACUAGGCCUGCAGCAGACUGGAUCAGGUCACUCUCCACGAUAGCAACACUGGUGGACAGAACCUGAGACACUAGGCCUGCAGCAGACUGGAUCAGGUUGUCUUCCUCGAUGGAAACACUGGUGGACAGAACCUGAGGAGUCUGCAGGAAUGUCAGUGGCUCCCACUCAUCCAGGAAGAAGCUCUCGACAGAGGGGAAGCUUCUUCCUUUCAGAGCUGCAGGAAUGUAGGGGGUGUACCCAACAGUCCAGAGCAGAGAGCUGUCGAUGGCAUUCGCGUAGUGGUACUUGUCACCAAGUUCCUCUGCAAAGCUCUGACGGAACUUCUGACUCUGGACCGCCAAGGGCGUUGAGCUGGGUCACCAUUGACAUCCACCCUGAAAGAAACACCAACACAGGGUUAACAAAACUGAUUUCAGC
rnacentral:lncRNA from 1 species